rnacentral:rRNA from 1 species
GAGGUCUCAAGCGUUGUUCGGAAUCACUGGGCGUAAAGGGUCCGUAGGCGGCAAAAUAAGUCGUGCGUGAAAGGCAGGGGCUCAACCUCUGGAGUGCGCGUGAUACUGUUUUGCUAGAGUAAUGGAGGGGGAACCGGAAUUCUUGGUGUAGCAGUGAAAUGCGUAGAUAUCAAGAAGAAGACUCGUGGCGAAGGCGGGUUCCUGGACAUUAACUGACGCUGAGGUACGAAGGCCGGGGUAGCGAAA